UGGUUCUGGCAUCGAUGAAGAACGCAGCGAAAUGCGAUACGUAAUGUGAAUUGCAGAAUUCAGUGAAUCAUCGAAUCUUUGAACGCAUAUUGCGCCCGCUGGUAUUCCAGCGGGCAUGCCUGUUCGAGCGUCAUUUCAACCCUUAAGCCCUCGCUGCUUAGCGUUGGGAGCCUACCGCGGCCCGGCAACGGCCCGCUGUAGCUCCCCAAAGUUAGUGGCGGAGCCAGCCCGUGCUCUAGGCGUAGUAGAUUUCUCAUCUCGCCUCUGUAGCCGCGGGCGGGCCUCCUCGCCGUAAAACAACACCACUAUUUUUCAAUGGUUGACCUCGGAUCAGGUAGGAAUACCCGCUGA
rnacentral:misc_RNA from 1 species